GCAGCGCAGCCGACCCCGCAGAGAUGGAAGCGCUGCGCACGGUGCGUAGCAAAGAGGGGAUCUGGGUACCGUGUGCGCCCCGUCGGGGUCCCUGAGCCCAUCCCAUCCCC
ensembl:miRNA gga-mir-6620 gga-mir-6620